rnacentral:rRNA from 1 species
GAGUUUGAUCGUGGCUCAGAACGAACGCUGGCGGCAUGCCUAACACAUGCAAGUCGAACGAACUCUUCGGAGUUAGUGGCGCACGGGUGCGUAACGCGUGGGAAUCUGCCCUUGGGUACGGAAUAACUCAGAGAAAUUUGUGCUAAUACCGUAUAAUGACUUCGGUCCAAAGAUUUAUCGCCCAAGGAUGAGCCCGCGUAAGAUUAGCUAGUUGGUGGGUAAAGGCCUACCAAGGCUACGAUCUUUAGCUGGUCUGAGAGGAUGAUCAGCCACACUGGGACUGAGACACGGCCCAGACUCCUACGGGAGGCAGCAGUGGGGAAUAUUGGACAAUGGGCGAAAGCCUGAUCCAGCAAUGCCGCGUGAGUGAUGAAGGCCUUAGGGUUGUAAAGCUCUUUUACCCGGGAUGAUAAUGACAGUACCGGGAGAAUAAAGCUCCGGCUAACUCCGUGCCAGCCGCCGCGGU